rnacentral:rRNA from 1 species
GGAGUCUGGGCCGUGUCUCAGUCCCAAUGUGGCCGUCCGCCCUCUCAGGCCGGCUACUGAUCGUCGCUUCGGUGGGCCGUUACCCCGCCGACUGGCUAAUCAGAUGCGGAUCCAUCCUGUACCGAUUAUUCUUUUCACCCUGCACCAUGCGGUGCCGGGCGCUUAUGCGGUAUUACCAGCCGUUUCCAGCUGCUAUCCCCCAGUGUGAGGCAGGUUAUCCACGCGUUACUCACCCGUCCGCCACUAAGUUAAGUUCCAUCCGAAAAUUUCUCUUAACCCCGUUCGACUUGCAUGUGUUAGGCACGCCGCCAGCGUUCAUCCUGAGCCAUGAUCAAACUACU